CUGGUCAUCCCUUAAUCGUUGUUGCUACGAGUUGUCAAAGCGUCCAAUCAAAACAAUAUCAAUACUCAAUUAGCAUGAUUUGAUGUAGCAUCAGCUCUAGGCGGGUCAGCAGGUAUAUUCAUAAAUCUGCAAUGUUCUGUUGAUUUUCCUGCCUCAGCUGAUAUCAGGGGUGGCUCCAUAAUUGUGCCCAUGUCUGUAUCUGUCAUUUCUCGCUGCAUCGUUUCUCGUUUGACCACAGAAGAGACAAGUGAGAGUGAGUGACGUGUGAGAGCUCGCAGAGUGAAUGCACAAUGGCAGAAUCGACGUCGGAAUCUCGUGGGACGAGCGAGCUUGCGUCGACGCACGACGCGUCGUCUGAUGCGAGCGGAAAGGUGUGUGUGUUCACUUGUUGAAACCUGCUCAUCAUCUCUGCUUGUUUCAAGUGUGACAGCGUCGAGAGCAAAUACUUCACAUUGAACUCUUCAGCGUUCACUCUCUGUCAUAGAGUGCCGGCUCAUCAGCAGAGAACAUGUCCAAUGAACACGUGACUAUCUGAUGAAUGGAAGAUGGGUGAGGAGAAGCAAGGAGACGGAUGUCUACAGCAUGGGAGUCACCCUGGUGGAGCUGAAUGUUUACUGCUCGAUCACCUGCUAGGAUCCUCAUCAGAGAGAUGACCGAGUGCAUCAACUAUGACAGCAGAGACUGGUCACACUGGCAUGUGAUCAUAACUGAUGGCUGUGAUGUCGACGAAGGGAAAGAAACUGGCAACUUUGGGAUGAGGAUUUUCCUGUGCAACAAGAGGAAAAAUGAAAGCUGGACAUUUGUGAGUGUGUGAGAAGGAUAUGUAGUGUUGGUAUGAGUACAUGAGCAAACUUUCCAACUGUGUCAUCACGUGUGACAAUAACUCUUCUAGCAUAUAGUCUCAUGCUUACUGCAUUACAUCCUUGUCAGUCAUUGGUAUAUAUCACAAUACAAGUACAGCAAUAAUUGUUAUACUCUAA